rnacentral:rRNA from 1 species
GGAUGAAGAGGUUUGUGACUGAGUGGCGGACGGGUGAGUAACGCGUGGGUAACCUGCCUCAUACAGGGGGAAAACAGUUAGAAAUGACUGCUAUUACCGCACAAGACCACUUAGCCGCAUGGCCCAUUGGGACAAUCCCCGGUGGUAUGAGAUGGACCCGCGUCUGAUUUGGUACUUGGUGGGGUAACGGCCUACCAAGCCAACGAUCAGUAGCCGAUCUGAGAGUGUGACCGGCCACAUCGGGACUGAGACACGGCCCAAACUCCUACGGGAGGCAUCAGCGGGGAAUAUUGCACAAUG